UAUUUAGAGUUAGUAAAUACACAAAAGAGAUUGGUUAUUUCCUUCCUUCCUUUUGUGUUACAUUCAGAAACACAAAUAUGAGUUGAUUUACAAAAAGUGAAUGUAAACAUCCUCUGAAAAUAUUUUUUAUAAAGUGCUACUUGUUAAUUGAAAUGAAUAGUGUAGUUUUUGUGAAUUGCUGUAUAAUUGUUAGUGACUGCCAUGUAUUUUAUGUUGCAAUAAUAUUGACUAUAAAAUUGCUUUGCUAAAUUAAUGUGAAAUGACUAAAAUCCCUUCUGUCUUCAGUAAAUUUCUGAAAGGAAGAAAUGAUGAUUUCAUAAUUUGUCAUUAAGUCUUGGUGUUUAUGAAAAAAGAAAGCAAGAACCAAAAGGACCUGACAUGUUUAUAUUGUCAAAACAUUGCAUAUAUUAUCAAUGUUUGGAUAUAUAUAUUUAUCAGUAUACAUAUAUAUCAAGAGUUCUGGACAGUAAGCUUAGGUGUGUAGGAAUAUGUUGACAUCAUGUCCAGUGUUAACAGUGGACACAAGUCUUUGGGUUGUUCUGUAGUUAAAUGGCCAACCAAAAGUAUUAAAAGCACGUGUGCUUUUAAAAUUAGCCACAAAUGUUCUGAAUAUUAAUUUUUUCUAAAUAUCCAGCUUCUCAAAAUGCAGGGUUUACUAAUUUAAUGUAUUUUAUAGUGCUGCAAGUCAAACCCAGUGACUGAUGUGCAAGCAUUUGUCCACAGCUACAUCAUGAGCACUGGGUUCAUAUUUCUUUAUAGGUGUGUUACGAAUGGAGUAAAGUCAUCUCCUGUCAGAGAGAAUUAAAGGAAACCAUGGGCAGACACACUGCUGACAGCCAGGGUACUCUGCCUUGUUAGUGGUUCAAACCUGUGACCUGGUAUAGCCUUCUGCUAACCCAGAAAACAAAUUCAACUUUGUUUUUGAGAAGUUUUUCUGAGUUUAAGUCUGGAGAGUUCAUAAAUCAAAACUGUCAUUCUCCACUUUAAAAAAAUACCAUGUUUAACAUGGACAAGUUUUGUUAUUGUUCAUUUUAAAAGUUAUUUGUGAUGUAUAUUACAAGACUUUAUGUAGGUUAGAUCCUAAGAAAAGAAUUUAGAGAUCCUUAUCUAACCUUGCUAUUAAGUUAAAUCCUAACUUUGUCUUUAAUUAGAAUAUUGUACCUGCAUUGCUGUUCUUUUAGACAUUAUAUCACUGCCAAAUAGACUAAUUUUUCUUUUAAACCAUGUUAGUGAAAACCAUUUAAAAAUUCCCAUUCAUGUGGCUAUGUAAAAUAGAAUACACAGGAGACCUUUGUCAAGGUAUCUUUGUCUAAUUUCAUUGCAGUGUUUGGCAUUUACUCUAAUUUGUGGAAUAAAAGUAUUUAGCUAAGUGCA
rnacentral:lncRNA from 1 species